AGUGAACGCUGGCGGUAGGCCUAACACAUGCAAGUCGAACGGCAGCACAGGAGAGCUUGCUCUCUGGGUGGCGAGUGGCGGACGGGUGAGGAAUACAUCGGAAUCUACCUUUUCGUGGGGGAUAACGUAGGGAAACUUACGCUAAUACCGCAUACGACCUACGGGUGAAAGUUGGGGACCGCAAGGCCUCACGCGAUUAAAUGCGCCGAUGUCCGAUUAGCUAGUUGGCGGGGUAAUGGCCCACCAAGGCGACGAUCGGGAGCUGGUCUGAGAGGAUGAUCAGCCACACUGGAACUGAGACACGGUCCAGACUCCUACGGGAGGCAGCAGUGGGGAAUAUUGGACAAUGGGCGCAAGCCUGAUCCAGCCAUACCGCGUGGGUGAAGAAGGCCUUCGGGUUGUAAAGCCCUUUUGUUGGGAAAGAAAUCCUGUCGAUUAAUACUCGGUGGGGAUGACGGUACCCAAAGAAUAAGCACCGGCUAACUUCGUGCCAGCAGCCGCAGUAA
rnacentral:rRNA from 1 species